UACGGAGGGUGCGAACGUUAAUCGGAAUCACUGGGCGUAAAGCGCGCGUAGGCGGUCUGUUAAGUGGGAUGUGAAAUCCCCGGGCUUAACCUGGGAAUUGCAUUUCAAACUGGCCGACUAGAGUACGGUAGAGGGAGGUAGAAUUUCCUGUGUAGCGGUGAAAUGCGUAGAUAUAGGAAGGAAUACCAGUGGCGAAGGCGGCCUCCCGGAUCGAUACUGACGCUGAGGCGCGAAAGCGUGGGGAGCAAACAGG
rnacentral:rRNA from 1 species